rnacentral:rRNA from 1 species
UACGUAGGGGGCAAGCGUUGUCCGGAUUUAUUGGGCGUAAAGAGCGUGUAGGCGGCCACACAGGUCUGCUGUGAAAACUCGAGGCUCAACCUCGAGCUGUCGGUGGAAACCGUGUGGCUAGAGUCCGGAAGAGGAGAGUGGAAUUCCCGGUGUAGCGGUGAAAUGCGCAGAUAUCGGGAAGAACACCCGUGGCGAAGGCGGCUCUCUGGGACGGUACUGACGCUGAGACGCGAAAGCGUGGGGGAGCGAACAGG